rnacentral:rRNA from 1 species
GAUGAACGCUGGCGGCGUGCUUAACACAUGCAAGUCGAACGGAAAGGCCCUGCUUUUGUUGGGUGCUCGAGUGGCGAACGGGUGAGUAACACGUGUGUAACCUGCCCUUGUCUUUGGGAUAACUUCAGGAAACUGGGGCUAAUACCGGGGAGGAGCUCCUGAUCCAUGGUGGUGGUUGGAAAGUUUCGGCGGUUGUGGAUGGAUUCGCGGCUUAUCCGCUUGUUGGUCGGGUAGUGGCUUACCAAGGCUGUGACGGGUAGCCGGCAUGAGAGGGGGAACGGGGACAAGACGACUAAGAGACGCAGCAGAAUGCUAUGGGAGGCAGCAGGGGGGAGUAUGACAGAACGGGCGGGAGUGUGAGACAGCGACGCCGGGUGCGGGAAGACGGCUUACGGGUGAUAAACCACUGUCGCCGUAGACGAGGCGGGAGUGACGGUAAUUGAUAAAGAAGCACCGGCUAACUACGUG